GGCUGCAACGCGGCCCAAACACUUGGGGCGUGCAGCGUGUUGCCGCCAGAGCCGCCUCCUCCAAUCCCCGUGCCGCUCCUGCUGAGCGCGGGCCCCUGCAGCCCAGCGCUGCCCCCGACCAGCUGCGGCGCGUGCUGAGCUCUGGGGAUCGCAAGCCCCUGUGCUCGUGCGUGUCUGUAAACUCAUGCGUACAUGAAGCUCGGUGUUCUGUACAUACGCACAAAUGCUGUGGAUCCGGUCUCUUUGUUGAUGAGCGCUGACGUCGCUAAAGACGACCCAGCCCUCCCUGGCUCGGAAUUCUUAACUACAGCAACCUGUCAAACUUUUAUUUCUCGCUUUCUGCAAAACCUCUGGUGCUCCAUCAGCAGUGCUGCCCACCCUUCUCCAGGUCACCUGGGACCCGCACUUGGUGCACGGUCAUUGUGACAGGCAGGAACACAGGGAGACUCACAUGGCCCUAACGUUGCACUUCUGUCUUUACGAGCUGAUGGAUUAAGCAGCAAUGAUCUAGAUAACAGCUAUUUAGCUGCCAUUUGAUCACCUGAAAUAGAUUCAGCCUGACCCUGAAUCCCAAAGAAAUGAUGCUGAGAUGUGCUGUUCAUGGGUGACCACCAGGAAGUGCAUCAUUGGAAAAACUGAGGAGGUGAUAAACUUCUGGAAAAUGUUGCCAAUGGGCAGCCUGCAUUUGCAUGUGCCACGCCGGGAGGGCUGAGACUUGCAGCAAGGAGCUCUGUAGCAGGCUGUUCCUGAUUGGCUGCGUCACGUGCAGGCAGAACAUUAGGGGUGUAUGAAAAGAGCAUAAAAAAUGGAUGUUUUCUCUUUGCAGAAGUCAGCUAUACCAGUAUUAGCUUUUAUUUGGAUUCAGGGUGAACCUGAGAAUCAAAGGAAAAAUCCCUUGGUCAUUUCAGAUCUAUCUGCAGACAAAGAGCUGGGAUUUCCCGGCUGUCUGGGGUUGGUUUUUCUCCAGG